rnacentral:rRNA from 1 species
CGGAGGAAAAGAAACCAACCGGGAUUGCCUUAGUAACGGCGAGUGAAGCGGCAAAAGCUCAAAUUUGAAAUCUGGUACCUUCGGUGCCCGAGUUGUAAUUUGGAGAGGGCAACUUUGGGGCCGUUCCUUGUCUAUGUUCCUUGGAACAGGACGUCAUAGAGGGUGAGAAUCCCGUGUGGCGAGGAGUGCGGUUCUUUGUAAAGUGCCUUCGAAGAGUCGAGUUGUUUGGGAAUGCAGCUCUAAGUGGGUGGUAAAUUCCAUCUAAAGCUAAAUAUUGGCGAGAGACCGAUAGCGAACAAGUACAGUGAUGGAAAGAUGAAAAGAACUUUGAAAAGAGAGUGAAAAAGUACGUGAAAUUGUUGAAAGGGAAGGGCAUUUGAUCAGACAUGGUGUUUUGUGCCCUCUGCUCCUUGUGGGUAGGGGAAUCUCGCAUUUCACUGGGCCAGCAUCAGUUUUGGUGGCAGGAUAAAUCCAUAGGAAUGUAGCUUGCCUCGGUAAGUAUUAUAGCCUGUGGGAAUACUGCCAGCUGGGACUGAGGACUGCGACGUAAGUCAAGGAU